AACUAACUGCUGCCACUCUUCUGGGAAGGCAUUCCAGAUGAUUUUGGAGCGUCUGUGGGAAUUUGUGAGUUCAGGUACUGAUGUUGGAUGAGAGGCCCUGGCUCACAAUCGCCGUUCCAAUUCAUCCCAAAUGUGUUUUAUUGGGUUGAGGUCACGGCUCUGAGUAGGUCACUCAAGUUCCUCCACACCAACCUCGUAAAACCAUGUCUUUAUGGACCCCACUUUGGGCACAGUCAUGUUGGAACAGGAAAGGGCCUUCUCCAAACUGUUGUUACAAUGUUGGAAGCACUUUGUCUAAAAUGUCUUUGUAUCUUGUAGCAUUAAGAUGACCCAUCACUGGAACUAAGGGGCCUAGCCCAAACUCUGAAACACCCCAAAGACCAUUAUCCCUCCUCCAAAAUAUUCCAAAAAUAUAUUUUUUAAGUAAUUCCAACUUAAUGUGUUUAUUAUACAUUAAUCUGUUAAAGCAACAUAAACAAUAUACAGCUCCAGAGAUUUUUUUGAGACCACUCUUUUUUCUUAAAUCAGCAUCUACAUGUAUGGCAGCCAUUCCAUUCCAGUGUCUUUUCAAUUCCAACACAGGCACACCUAAUUUUACUUAAGGAGGUACGGAUUAGGUGAUUACCUGAACCAAAUCUAAAUUAACAAGGAAAAGUAUAAAAACCCCUGCUGUGGUCAUCACUAUCCUCUUGCCAUAGGACCAGCUGGAUGGCAAAAACAGUGCAAGUAGUACCUCAAAGGUAAUUUGAAUAAAAAAAUAACUAUUCAGCAUGACAAAAGAGUUGAAAAGCUUUGUAUGAGGAAAAGAAGGGUUCAAUUCUGGCUUUACUGGCACAGGGAUACAGUGAGCGUCAGGUUUCGUCCAUCCUGAACAUUUCAAAGACGGCGAUUCAUUAGAACAAGGUCAAGCAACAGACGUUGAAGACAGCAAAGCUACAGACUGGCAGAGGGCGAAAACGAAUGUCCACUGAUUGAGAUGACUGUCAACUGUCACUCAAUAACUGUAGGAUGACAUCAAGUGACCUACAAAAAUAAUUUCAAACAGCUGCUGGGGUGAAGGACAUGGGGAGGACGGUUCGAUACAGGAUCCUAGGGGCAGGACUGAAGUCGUGCAAAGCUAGAAAAAAGCCCUUCAUCAAUGAGAAGAAAAGAAAA
ensembl:lncRNA